AUGCCGGGCCUUUAAAGGUCUGGCAAUUGGAAUGAGAACAAUUUAAACCCCUUAUCGAGUAUCAAUUGGAGGGCAAGUCUGGUGCCAGCAGCCGCGGUAAUUCCAGCUCCAAUAGCGUAUAUUAAAGUUGUUGCAGUUAAAAAGCUCGUAGUUGGAUUUGUGGGCGUCGCGGGCGGCCUCGCACCUAGUGCGGGUGCCUGCCUGCGUCCCCAUCCUUCGUUGGAACCUGUGUGGCAUUAGGUUGUCGUGCAGGGGAUGGCGAUCGUUUACUGUGAAAAAAUUAGAGUGUUCAAAGCAGGCUUAUGCCGUUGAAUAUGUUAGCAUGGAAUAAUAAGAUAGGACCUUGGUACUAUUUUGUUGGUUUGCGCACCAAGGUAAUGAUUAAAAGGGACAGUUGUGGCAUUUCGUAUUCCAUUGUCAGAGGUGAAAUUCUUGGAUUUUUGGAAGACGAACUACUGCGAAAGCAUUAUGCAAGGAUGUUUUCAUUAAUCAAGAACGAAAGUUAGGGGAUCGAAGAUGAUUAGAUACCAUCGUAGUCUUAACCAUAAACUAUGCCGACAAGGGAUUGGCGGAGUUUCGUUUCGUCUCCGCCAGCACCUUAUGAGAAAUCACAAGUCUUUGGGUUCCGGGGGGAGUAUGGUCGCAAGGCUGAAACUUAAAGAAAUUGACGGAAGGGCACCACCAGGAGUGGAGCCUGCGGCUUAAUUUGACCCAACACGGGAAAACUUACCAGGUCCAGACAUAGUGAGGAUUGACAGAUUGAGAGCUCUUUCUUGAUUCUAUGGGUGGUGGUGCAUGGCCGUUCUUAGUUGGUGGAGUGAUAUGUCUGGUUAAUUCCGUUAACGAACGAGACCCCUGCCUGCUAAAUAGCCUGCCGAGUGAAUUUUCACUGGGUUAUGCUUCUUAGGGGGACGUGCAUUCUAUUAGAUGCAGGAAGAUAGGGGCAAUAACAGGUCUGUGAUGCCCUUAGAUGUCCUGGGCCGCACGCGCGCUACACUGAUGCAAUCAACGAGUUUUUCCUUGGCCGAGAGGCCUGGGUAAUCUUUUGAACCUGCAUCGUGAUAGGGAUAGAUUAUUGCAAUUAUUAAUCUUGAACGAGGAAUUCCUAGUAAACGCAGAUCAUCAAUCUGCAUUGAUUACGUCCCUGCCCUUUGUACACACCGCCCGUCGCACCUACCGAUUGAAUGGUCCGGUGAAGCCUC
rnacentral:rRNA from 1 species